GAAAUGCGAUAACUAAUGUGAAUUGCAGAACUACGUGAAUCAUCGAGUCUUUGAACGCAUAUUGCACUCUGUGGUAUUCCGCAGAGUAUGCCUGUUUGAGUGUCAGUAACUAACCUCAAGCCCACCAGGGUUUGGAGCUGAGUUUCCAACUAUUUCAGUUGGUUACUUCAAAGGAAGUGGUGAGCAGUUUUGCAAUUUUCAGUUAAGUUGCUCUGACUUGAUAAGACUCUUGCAGUUCUUUGAGUUAACGGCUUCUCUGGAAGUAAGACUGUCUCUUCCUUAAACGCGUCUGGGACGCAAUACCUGAGUUUUUCGGAACUCUUGUAACUUGACCUCAAAUCAGGUAGGACUACCCGCUGAACUUAA
rnacentral:misc_RNA from 1 species